rnacentral:rRNA from 1 species
CCUACGGGAGGCUGCAGUAGGGAAUCUUCCACAAUGGGCGAAAGCCUGAUGGAGCAACGCCGCGUGGGUGAAGAAGGUCUUCGGAUCGUAAAACCCUGUUGUUAGAGAAGAAAGUGCGUGAGAGUAACUGUUCACGUUUCGACGGUAUCUAACCAGAAAGCCACGGCUAACUACGUGCCAGCAGCCGCGGUAAUACGUAGGUGGCAAGCGUUAUCCGGAUUUAUUGGGCGUAAAGGGAACGCAGGCGGUCUUUUAAGUCUGAUGUGAAAGCCUUCGGCUUAACCGGAGUAGUGCAUUGGAAACUGGGAGACUUGAGUGCAGAAGAGGAGAGUGGAACUCCAUGUGUAGCGGUGAAAUGCGUAGAUAUAAGGAAGAACACCAGUGGCGAAAGCGGCUCUCUGGACUGUAACUGACGCUGAGGUUCGAAAGCGUGGGUAGCAAACAGGAUUAGAUACCCCAGUAGUC